rnacentral:rRNA from 1 species
GGAGGAAAAGAAACCAACAGGGAUUGCCCUAGUAACGGCGAGUGAAGCGGCAACAGCUCAAAUUUGAAAUCUGGCCCUCGGGUCCGAGUUGUAAUUUGUAGAGGAUGCUUUUGGUGAGGUGCCUUCCGAGUUCCCUGGAACGGGACGCCAUAGAGGGUGAGAGCCCCGUCUGGUCGGACACCGAUCCUCUGUAAAGCUCCUUCGACGAGUCGAGUAGUUUGGGAAUGCUGCUCUAAAUGGGAGGUAUAUGUCUUCUAAAGCUAAAUACCGGCCAGAGACCGAUAGCGCACAAGUAGAGUGAUCGAAAGAUGAAAAGCACUUUGAAAAGAGGGUUAAACAGUACGUGAAAUUGUUGAAAGGGAAGCGCUUGUGACCAGACUUGGGCCCGGUUAAUCAUCCAGUGUUCUCACUGGUGCACUUGGCCGGCCCAGGCCAGCAUCAGUUCGGCGCGGGGGAUAAAGGCUUCGGGAAUGUGGCUCCUCCGGGAGUGUUAUAGCCCGUUGCGCAAUACCCUGCGCUGGACUGAGGUUCGCGCAUCUGCAAGGAUGCUGGCGUAAUGGUCAUCAG